CUGUUUAUUGGCUUGACCACGGCGACAUUCAUUUGUUCAACACUGUGAUGUAUUGGGGUUACUUUUGUCAGUGCACGUCCCCUGCACAUUUCAGCUUAUUAGGGGCGUGCGCCUGGAACAUGCGCAGUUUAACUAAGAUGGCGCUGUCCAGGAAAAAUGCAUGUUCCUGAUUAUUACUGCGUUGUGAUUCCGUCUGUUUGUUUUGCAAGUUGACUUCAGUAAACGCUAUGCAACUAUAUUCUUGUUGUCCGUGCCUUAAGAAUCUUACAACGUUUAGCCGAUUUAACAAACACUUAUCUAUUCAUUUGAGUCACGUCUCGUUAAUUUUCAAUUUUUGUCUGAAGUCUUUCAUUAGACAUUUAUAAGACAAAACGUCCGUUUUUUUGAGUGCAGUCAUUUUGCCUCCCGCGCUUUUUUAAAAAUCUCGAUCAGGACAAUGGACUUUUCGAGAACUACGGUUGGAACCAAGGACUUACAAGGAAUUGGCAACUGAAAUCAUGAAGGGAUCAAAUAACUCACUGACCUGCUGACAGCCAAAGAAUAGAUACCAGUGAAAGAAGUUGGGUAGCUGCAGUCCACCAUUUAUGUUUGAACUAGACAUCCUUGGGUAUGAACAUCUUACUUUCUUUCCGUGCCAUAUAAAGGCUGAGAUAAUUUUAUGCAAAUCUUCAAACCAGGUUUUUUGUAUUGUGACAAGUAUCAUCCUUAGAAUGUAGUUGACAGUAGGAAGUAUAUUCAUCUUAACUAUGUUCACUCGACCCCACAGAGAUAUGGGAAGAUGAGACCAUCGAUCUAUAUUUGACUUUAUUCAUUAUUUCUGUGAGAUUUAUAUCUUGUGUUUGAUAACUAUUUGUUGUAAUCCUCAAUCCUAAAUAUAUUAUUUCUGUUUGUUUCCAUUUAAUUUUUGUAUUUUUCACGCAUGCGAUACUGCAGUGUUUAUUUAGGGGCAGUAGUUCACAUUUUCCCCAAUUUACUUUGUAUCCUGAGAAUUAACCAUAUUGAGUAAUAAUCUGAUUGAUGUAACGGAAUGAGGAGUCUCCACUACUAUGUAGAGAAUGAUGUCAUCACAAUACAGUGAUAUUUUAUAAAUUUGACUUCCAAUUGUUAUGCCUUUGAUAUUCCUUUCAGAUCUUAUUUUCUCAGCUAGUGGUUCAAUGAUUAAAUUAAAUAGAAGCCCAGAAGCUGGACAUCCUUGUUUUGUACCUCAAUGUAAAAUUAAAGGUUUUGAAAUUAGGUCAUUGGUUCUUAUUGAUGCCUUAGGCUUUGUGUACAUCAUCCUGAUCCACUGUAUAAACUUAUUACCAAAACCGUAUUUCUGCAGGGUACUGAACAUAAAGGGCCAUUCUGUUCGAUCGAAGGCUUUUUCAGCAUCUAAUGUACACAGUGCUGCUGGAUGAGGGCGCUUUUUUGCAUAUUGAAUGAUAUUGAAUAAUUUCCUUGUGUUAUCAGAUGAAUGUUGAUUUUUCAUGAAACCAGUUUGGUCAGUGUGUAUCAGCUUUCCCAUUACAAGAUGUAAUCUUGCUGCAAGAACUGGCCAGGAUUUUUUUAUUUAAAUAAAUGAUAUUGGACGAUAGUUGUUACAGAUUAGAGGGUCUUUAUCUUUUUUAUGAAUUAAAGUAAUAUGGGAGUAAUUAAACAUAGGUGGAAAACUCUCAUUGUCAAAUGAUGCUUGAUAUGCCUGCAAAAGCAGGGGGGAUAGAUCCUCACUAAACUCUUGAUAAAACUCUGCAUUAUAACCAUCAGGCCCUGGAGAUUUAUUUUUAUAAAAUGAGUUGAUGGCUUUAUUUAUUUCAAACAUAGUUAUGGGCUGUUCCAAUGCAUUCUUUUCUUCUUCUGAUAAGCAAGGAAGAUUAAUAUUAUUUAAGAAUUCCUGCAUUGAUUCAUGCUUGUCAUUACUUUCAGACCUGUAAAGAUUUUCAUAGAAGUCUGCAAAAGUUUUAUUUAUUAGAUCUGGAUCGGUGGUAACUGAGUUAUUUGGUAAUCUAAUAAUAGAUUUGAUAUUUUUAGUCAUCUGUUUUUUAAGUCUUGAAGAUAGCAACUUUCCUGCCU